UACAGAGGUCUCAAGCGUUGUUCGGAUUCAUUGGGCGUAAAGGGUGUGUAGGUGGCGCCGUAAGUCGGGUGUGAAAUUUCGGAGCUUAACUCCGAAACUGCAUUCGAUACUGCGUGCUUGAGGACUGGAGAGGAGACUGGAAUUUACGGUGUAGCGGUGAAAUGCGUAGAUAUCGUAAGGGAAGGACCAGUGGCGAAGGCGGGUCUCUGGACAGUUCCUGACGCUGAGGCACGAAGGUCAGGGGAGCAAACGGG
rnacentral:rRNA from 1 species